rnacentral:rRNA from 1 species
CUAACAAGGAUUCCCUCAGUAACGGCGAGUGAAGCGGGAAGAGCUCAAAUUUGAAAUCUCCGAUGCCUGCAUCGGCGAGUUGUAGUUGCGAGAAGCACUUUCUAGGUGGAUCGGCAGUGCCUAAGUUGCUUGGAACAGCAGGUCGCAGAGGGUGACAACCCCGUCUGUGGCGCUGCCGGCCGCUGACGAUGUGCUUUCGAAGAGUCGGGUUGUUUGGGAAUGCAGCCCAAAAUGGGUGGUAAACUCCAUCUAAAGCUAAAUACUGGCGUGAGACCGAUAGCGAAGGAAACGAAUGGACUCAGCAAUGCGCCCUUUGAGAUUCAGCCGGUGGGUGGCGUCGGCUUUGGGCUUGCGGAUCUGAAUGGACCGCGGCCCGGCGCUCGCUUCUCCCCGCCGUCGCACUUCUCUGGGGCGCGCGUCAACGUGGGUUGGGACUGGGUCUGAAAGGUACCGGGAAGGUAGGAGUGGGCUUUCGGGUCCGCUCUGUUACAGCCCGGUUCUCUCAUGGCUCGGGCCCGACCGAGGAGGACCAGGAACAGGGCAUGCCUCCUGUGGCUAGGGUGCCGUCCUUCCGGCCGGCUGUCCAGUGUGGUGGACUGCUUGCAGUGCUCCGCGACGGCUGCCGGUCGUUGGGGUGGUGAUCU